GAUGUGGGAGCUGCAGGCUGACGGCGGCGGAGGCGGGAACCGGGAAGUGGGGAUGAGGCAGUGGGGACUGAGUCCUUCACUAGUGCCCCAAUGACACCAACAUGCCUUGUGAGAGUCUGACAGGAGGUAGAAAUUCAACGUCCCUGCCCAAGACUUCAGAUCCUCUCCAAGUUGGGUCCUAGCUGUGACAGAGGAUGGUAAUGCUGACAGCCUAAUAUGGUUAGCAGCAGGUACGAUGGCAUUUGAGUCAGAACUGAUGACUGGGACUGUAGAAUCUCCCAGCCUUCACCUGUUUGGAGUCUGGAGUCUGCUGCAGCAUCACUGGUGCUCCCCAUGGAGCAAACAGGAGCAGAGAAAGGAGGGGUGCUGCCUCGCUGGCAAUUAGCCAGCAACUGCCACUCCCCAGCUUCCCAGCCACAUGAAAGACUAAGGGAGAAGAGCUCAUCCAGAGCUGAAGGAGGCCAAGAGGCCCAACUUACAGUUAGUUCAUCAGUCCUUCUCCCUCCCUCUGACUGCAAGUGGAGUUAAGUAAAAGCUGAAAUUGUAGCCACCCACUCUGUGGGUUGCACACUCCCA